rnacentral:lncRNA from 1 species
UUUGAUUUUGUCUUAUAAAAGACAAGUUGUAAUGCUGAAACAGCGUCUUCUUCGCUAUCGUGUGUAGAAGUUUGUAUUGUUGUUCCCAGAUAUUUUUUAGUCAAAUAUUUUAAGGAAUAUCUAAACGGCGGGCCUCUGGCAUGCGUAAAUAGAAGAGCAGUAUCUAUGACACGUUUGUGAAUAAGCCUCAUCGCAUUCAAAUCGUUUUCUAAACCAUGUCCUAUUAAAAUUGUAUUUUUAUUCAUGCCAAGUUCCUUUAUUUUAAUAUACAUUUGAUCCAUGGUAAUUCCUGAUUCUAAUUCUUUGGCAUCAUGUAUCCCGCUAAAUCGAGUAUUGAGACUCAAAAUUUUGCCUUUAGGCUUUAUAAACACAUCCAUAAUAAUGCUUUCCUUUGCUACCACCGUCAAACGAGCCAAUUCCAUCCCGUUCGUAGUGUAGCAUAGUUCACAAUCUAACGCGCAAUGACUUAAUUGCUUGCUAUUUGUACUGUCUGGUAAGUAGGAAAAUGGAUGAACGCUAGCAAGAUACGGAAGAUGUCGGUAUUUGAACACAUGGUUGUCUUCUAUAAUACAACCAGACGAAUCGCCCUCUUUUACACCACAGCAAGUGUAUGUACGAAUCUUCUCCCCCCCUUGCUUUUCACGAAACAGUUUUCCCCAAUGAUAUGUACAUGGUCCUCGAGGAUCCGCAAACCGUGUACCACAUCGAUCGCAUUCACGAAGUUCAUCUGGCGGGUUUACUGGUGCAACGUCUCCAAUAUUAUAUCCCCAUAGAAUCAAUUCUUCUUCCGAAUGAACAAGUGACUCAAGUUUCUCAUCAGGAGUUGAUCCUUGUAUUUCAUUUUUCUUCGGAGCUUUCUUAAGAGAUAAAAUUUUAGACUUGCAGGAGGAACUGUAUAUCAUUUUACUGUUUGCAGUUUCACAAAUAUUUUUUUCAUCGAGAAGAGCAAGCAUACUACUUUCUGCAUUGGAAUAGCCUAAAUCCUUGUAAGACUCAUAUAACAAAUGUGUCAUUCGUUUUCUCAGUUCAUGCCCAGCUGGUGAGUUGGAGUCAUAUUUAGGAGUAGGAAUGAUAUUGGAAGACGCUCCUUGAGAAUCUGAAUUAGUACUAAUGGCUGAUACAAGUUGCUUCUUCUUAUUAGGAACGAUGGAAAUGGCAUCAUUAAAUAAAGAACGCUUUUUUAAUACAGUAUUUGUAGGUAGAUGCGUCGUUUGAUGAUUCAACUGCUUGCAUUUGUAAGUUUCUAGUACGUCCAUACGAAAAUUCUCAUUCUUGGUUUCUUUAAUGGAAUCAUUUGUCUUCUCCAAAUUUAAAGUGGUGGAUAUAUUUUGCCUAAUGUUGAAAUUAAGAUUUUCAACCGAAUGAUAAGGGAUACAGGUCGUAACUAUUGGAACACAAAUAGACAGUUUACAAUUAUCGUAUUUGUAAGGAAGUGAUUUUUCAAUUUUAACUUUUGGGUACCCUUCAACAUUUUCGGAAUAAGGUGGUGAAAUCUUUGUUGAGUUUUGAAAGUCAUGACUAAAGAAACAAUUCCUAGACUGACAUUUGCGUCCAGUUCGUAGAAAUGGACAAACUAUGUGCUUAAACUGACCCAAAGGUGAAAACAUUGAAGCAAAUUAGGUACAACAAGUAGGCAGAUUUCCGUUGGGAAUUUAGAUAAAAAUUCUCAAGCAAAAUAUAAUAAAAUGUACCGCUACGAACAAAGAUACCAUGCACCCGCGAAAGAACCUCUUCAGCCAAAAAUAGAAUGGCGAAAUCUUGAAAUUCGUAAUAAAAAACAAAGACUUUUUAUAUCAUAA